rnacentral:lncRNA from 1 species
GCAUGGUAUAAAUUAUCGGUUUCCUUGAGUUUCUUCUCAUCUAAAAGCUGAAAGCAUGGGAAAAGUGAGGUUAGGACAGUAAAAAAGAAAUUUUAUGUUAAACUUUAAAUUACCUUAAAUAUAGCGUAACCAGCAGGAGUUUCAAAAAGGACUAACAUUUUUCUAUUUUAUAAGUAAAACAUUGAAUAUAAGAA